rnacentral:rRNA from 1 species
UACGGGGGGGGUAAGCGUUGUUCGGAUUUACUGGGCGUAAAGGGCGCGUAGGCGGCAAUUCAAGUCAUCUGUGAAAUCUCCGGGCUUAACUCGGAACGGUCAGAUGAUACUGCUUUGCUAGAGUGCGGAAGGGGCAAUCGGAAUUCUUGGUGUAGCGGUGAAAUGCGUAGAUAUCAAGAGGAACACCUGAGGUGAAGACGGGUUGCUGGGCCGACACUGACGCUGAAGCGCGAAAGCCAGGGGAGCAAACGGG